GUGCCCGGCUGGCGCGGCGUGGUUUCACUGUUACAUGCCUUGAAGUGAUGAGGAGGUUUCUGUUACUAUAUGCUACACAGCAGGGACAGGCAAAGGCCAUCGCAGAAGAAAUAUGUGAGCAAGCUGUGGUACAUGGAUUUUCUGCAGAUCUUCACUGUAUUAGUGAAUCCGAUAAGGUCUCGGUGAUUCAGAAUACACCUACUUUUGCAAUGGGGGGAAGAUAAUUGAUAAACGACUUCAAGAGCUUGGAGCCCGGCAUUUCUAUGACACUGGACAUGCAGAUGACUGUGUAGGAACUUGUGGUUGAGCCGUGGAUUGCUGGACUCUGGCCAGCCCUCAGAAAGCAUUUUAGGUCAAGCAGAGGACAAGAGGAGAUAAGUGGCGCACUCCCGGUGGCAUCACCUGCAUCCUCGAGGACAGACCUUGUGAAGUCAGAGCUGCUACACAUUGAAUCUCAAGUCGAGCUUCUGAGAUUCGAUGAUUCAGGAAGAAAGGAUUCUGAGGUUUUGAAGCAAAAUGCAGUGAACAGCAACCAAUCCAAUGUUGUAAUUGAAGACUUUGAGUCCUCACUUACCCGUUCGGUACCCCCACUCUCACAAGCCUCUCUGAAUAUUCCUGGUUUACCCCCAGAAUAUUUACAGGUACAUCUGCAGGAGUCUCUUGGCCAGGAGGAAAGCCAAGUAUCUGUGACUUCAGCAGAUCCAGUUUUUCAAGUGCCAAUUUCAAAGGCAGUUCAACUUACUACGAAUGAUGCCAUAAAAACCACUCUGCUGGUAGAA
rnacentral:lncRNA from 1 species